AUUGAACGCUGGCGGCAGGCCUAACACAUGCAAGUCGAGCGGAUGAGAGGAGCUUGCUCCUUGAUUCAGCGGCGGACGGGUGAGUAAUGCCUAGGAAUCUGCCUGGUAGUGGGGGACAACGUUUCGAAAGGAACGCUAAUACCGCAUACGUCCUACGGGAGAAAGCAGGGGACCUUCGGGCCUUGCGCUAUCAGAUGAGCCUAGGUCGGAUUAGCUAGUUGGUGAGGUAAUGGCUCACCAAGGCGACGAUCCGUAACUGGUCUGAGAGGAUGAUCAGUCACACUGGAACUGAGACGCGGUCCAGACUCCUACGGGAGGCAGCAGUGGGGAAUAUUGGACAAUGGGCGAAAGCCUGAUCCAGCCAUGCCGCGUGUGUGAAGAAGGUCUUCGGAUUGUAAAGCACUUUAAGUUGGGAGGAAGGGCAGUAAGUUAAUACCUUGCUGUUUUGACGUUACCGACAGAAUAAGCACCGGCUAACUCUGUGCCAGCCGCCGCGGUAAGAC
rnacentral:rRNA from 1 species